AACACGAUUCUCCAUUCCCGGAAUACAACCGUCAUACGUAGUGCUGCAUCCGUACGUCAUAGAGUAUCUUUGAACUAGCACCUAGUACAGCUUUGACCGGUAAUGCUCAAUAGCCGAUGUCUAUAAACACAUCUAACCAUUUCAUAUUAUUCUUGAAAAGGCAGUCUUUAUCGUGGAAAUUACCGCAACAUCUUGGACUACAUAACAACGCCUGACUAAAUGUGAAGGGGAGCUUUCCAGAUAUCACAAUGAAGUACCUGAUAAUUGCAGCUGUAUUAUGCAUCUUUAUUGGUGUAUCUGACGCCCUCUGGUGUUACAAGUGUUCCGGGUCUGGAUGCGAGACACCAGACACAACCGUAGAAGGUGUUUACAUCACGGAAUGUGACGACUACACCUCUCUUUGUUUCAGACAAGUGAUGCAAAUCGAGGGGUCAACAAUAUAUGCACGUGGCUGUACCCAAAGAAAGAACGAAUGUCAGAACUUAUGCUAUAAUGGGGAAAAUUACGAGAUCUGUGAAUCAUGCUGUUUCGCAAACCUGUGUAAUAGCGCAAGACCCCUGACCCCAAAUGCGGCCCCCGUUGUCUUUUCCAUCAUCAUGGCUUUAAUCGCUCGAUACUUAAUGUAGAGUAUGUCCUUAGUGCCUUUCAAUUAUAAUCCUUCUGCUUUAAUUGUGAAUGUCUUCAAACCUUGCACUUUUCCAUUUUCGGUAUCGUUUCCCAACGAAUGCCUGAUGGACUCCAUUUAGAAAGCUUUAAAUCAUGAAAAAAUAAAAUAGGCUGCAUAAUAUGUUGGUUGCUAGUGCCACACACAAACAAACAGAAGUUUCGAGAAGAAAAAAAAUCGCAUGUGCUUCAUUUAUUUCUUUUUUCUCUUUCCUUUUAUCCACUCAUCGAUUGUAAUCACAAUAUUAUCGGCUUUCAUACCCUUCGACACCAUAUCAAACCAUGCUCCAUGCAUGUAUAAUACCUUCCUCCCCCAACUUCCCCUCUCUUUCUCUUUCUCUCUCUCUCUCUCUUUCUGUCUUUCUUCCUCUCUCUCUCUUACCCUUAUAUCCAUUGUCAAACCAUUGUACAUGGUGAUGUCGUGACCGCAUUCAAAUUAACCCUUCUAUUACCGUACACAAAAUUUUCCGAACACCUCUCUCAUUCCUCUUCUGCGACUUACACCCAAAUAUGGGAUCCACCGCACACCCUCUCCUCCUAAAAUCAUCACACAUUAACUACACAACUAACCCCACUACCAUCUGAUAUCACCAACACCACCACCCUCACCACCCUCACCACCACCAACUCUACCACCAUCAUAAAAAUCACUACCACACCACUCCCUCUAUUAACGAAUGUCACCAACAACACCAUCAUCAUCAACUGCAACAACAACCUUACCAACGCUACCAUCACUACCAACGACAUCGACAUCAUCACCAUCAUCACUACCACAACCGCUCCACCAACUCCUACAACAAAAAAACACCACCACCCCCGUCAUCAUCAACACCACAUCCCCGGCCAUCCUACUUAUAUUGCACCAAGCAGAAACAAACGAUCACGCACUAUGGGGAGUCCAUGUACGCCCGGGGCUGCACGUCCCGCAAGUCAGACUGCCAACCCGGGUGCCAAGGUGAGCCAGAUAAUCAACUCUGUGAGUCCUGCUGCUUCUCGAACCUCUGCAACAGAUCAGCUACGGUGCAUGUCAACCUCGUUCUCCUUGUUACGACGUUCCUGAUUGGCGCACUGUUAUUACGCUGUUGAUGGAGACAGUAGAGCGCCGCCUCUGAUUGGACCAAAGAAUCUUUCAAACAUCUCUUUCUUUUCAUUUUGUAUUGUUGCGAUGGUUAAUUAUGGCAAAGUAGUCGUCCUCAAGAUUUAAUCAAAUGGAGUCACAUGAAUUCAACAAAUCAAAAUAUCCGGCAAAUGAGUUAAAGUGUAUGCGAAGUAGUCAACAAACAGUUAUGUUCGUAAACGUAAAGCCAAUUUCCAUGAUCAUUAUGAUUCAAUCGAUAUUGAAACAAAGACAUGAAUAUAAAAUCAAUUUCAAGAAAGUGCGUUAAGAUCUUAGAGACGCAUAGAAGUGGAUUUUCAUGGGGAAUUUUCACCAUUCGGAUAUUUACCCAAUAACCGGUGUUGUCACCAAGAUGGGACUUCACCUUUACGAUCGACAGGUCUUAUUUAAAAAUGCAUAAUGCUCUAUCCUAACACCGUAAGGAAUCCUCGUCAUAUACAUCAAAUUUCCCCUCACCCUCCAGAUACGUACAGGCAGUUGGGGCUAUUUUCUAGUUGGACCAGGGGUUCGCUGCUUCAAAGUCCUAUUGCACACACAUACACAUAAAUAGGAAAUUCGACCAAAUCUAGUGGCAGCGAAUUAUGAUGCAAUACACAUAGACGGUGACUACUAUUAUAUGGCUUUAAGAAAAUCAAGACGAAAUCGCAAGUUGUAGCGUAACGCACUUUACUCUUAAAAACAGGAACAAUGCAAGUGUUUCCAUUUAGACCUUUAGCCAUUGCUAUUCUGUACAAUGAAAUAUUUCAAAUGCCUUUAGUCUAUUCUGAUGUAUCAUAUUUCUGGGGCCCGUUUCAUAAAACUUGUUAUCUAUAACAACUGCUAAAUUUCUAUGACAAAUUUGCUCUCAGCCAAUCAGAUGCCAUAAUUUCAGUAGCUUAUAACAGUAGCUUGUAACUUGUUAUUGAUAACAAUUUUUAUGAAACAGUUCCCUGGUGUUGUUAUGUUGUUCAUUUUGUUAUCGAAAGAAUAUGAAGUAGAAUGUUAUUUGCCAAGUAUUUAAAUAAUCAGCGCGUUUAAUGAAAGUCUUUCGAUAUUUGCUAUUGACAGGCAUUGAAUAAUGACGUCAUAUUCUGUGUGAUAUUUUUAUAAAGCAAUAC